GAUGAACGCUGGCGGCGUGCUUAACACAUGCAAGUCGAACGAAGCACUUUAUUACAAUUUCUUCGGAAUGACGAUUUAGUGACUGAGUGGCGGACGGGUGAGUAACGCGUGGGUAACCUGCCUUAUACAGGGGGAUAACAGUUAGAAAUGACUGCUAAUACCGCAUAAGCGCACAGGAUUGCAUGAUCUGGUGUGAAAAACUCCGGUGGUAUAAGAUGGACCCGCGUCUGAUUAGCUGGUUGGUGAGGUAACGGCCCACCAAGGCGACGAUCAGUAGCCGACCUGAGAGGGUGACCGGCCACAUUGGGACUGAGACACGGCCCAAACUCCUACGGGAGGCAGCAGUGGGGAAUAUUGCACAAUGGGGGAAACCCUGAUGCAGCGACGCCGCGUGAGCGAAGAAGUAUUUCGGUAUGUAAAGCUCUAUCAGCAGGGAAGAAAAA
rnacentral:rRNA from 1 species